ACGCUGGCGGCGUGCCUAACACAUGCAAGUCGAACGGAAGCAAAGUAUUCGGUUUUUGCUUUAGUGGCGAACGGGUGAGUAACGCGUGAGGAACCUGCCUUUCAGUGGGGGACAACAGUUGGAAACGACUGCUAAUACCGCAUAAAGUGUUUUGGGGCAUCCCCGGAACACCAAAGAUUUAUUGCUGAAAGAUGGCCUCGCGUCUGAUUAGAUAGUUGGUGGGGUAACGGCCUACCAAGUCGACGAUCAGUAGCCGGACUGAGAGGUUGAACGGCCACAUUGGGACUGAGAUACGGCCCAGACUCCUACGGGAGGCAGCAGUGGGGAAUAUUGGGCAAUGGGGGAAACCCUGACCCAGCAACGCCGCGUGAAGGAAGAAGGCUUUCGGGUUGUAAACUUCUUUUACCAGGGACGAAGGACGUGACGGUACCUGGAGAAAAAGCCACGGCUAACUACGUG
rnacentral:rRNA from 1 species